UGGAUCACCUCCCUUUUUUAACGGAUAACACCUGCUACGCUAUCCUCUCAUUGAGCUAUUAACCCUUAGGGCCUCUAGCUCAGUUUGGUUAGAGCGUACCCCUGAUAAAGGUAAGGUCACUGGUUCAAAUCCAGUGAGGCCCAUUAUCAGGGAUGCGUAUUAAGGGGAUGUAGCUCAGCGGGAGAGCGCCUGCUUUGCAAGCAGGAUGUCGUGGGUUCAAAUCCCACCAUCUCCAUGUGUAAAACGUGGAGAAGCUCAUACUUCAUAAGCUGAAUAGGUUUGAGAGAAGAAGUAAUUAAAGUGGGUAUGCAAGUUAGUAAGGGUCCUUGGUGGAUGCCUUGGCAGCUAGA
rnacentral:tRNA from 1 species